CACUAAAAUGAGGGACAGAGAG
rnacentral:miRNA from 10 species